UCAACAACCAACGACGGAAAACUUGAGUAAUUUCCGUAUUUUUCGCGCUAAGGCACGGCGGACUUGUAGGCAAGCCCGACGAACAUCCUGGAAAAAAUUUGUCUCGGGGAUUACAUCUCGCAUCCCGAUGACAAAAGUUUGGAAUAUGGUAAACAAAAUAAAAGGUAAAAAUUCUAAAGCCACUGUAAAACAUUUGAAAGACGGCAAUGAUUUAUUAACAUCUGAAAAGGAUAUUGCCAACAAGCUUGGUGAAACUUUUGCGAAAUCUUCUUCUUGUAACAACUACAGGGAAGACUUUAAAAAAGUUAAAAAACAAAAAGAAAAAAUUAAAUUAAACUUUAAAUCAAAAAAUGGUGAAAAUUAUAAUAAACUAUUUUCUCUUGAAGAACUUAAAACAUCUCUGUCAAAAGCCCAUGAUACAGCUUGUGGGCCUGAUAAUAUUCACUACCAACUCUUAAAACACUUGCCAGAUUCCUCGCUAGAAGCUCUCUUGCAGCUCAUGAAUAACAUCUGGGAAUCUGGUGAUUUACCAUCAAUCUGGAAGCUUGCAACCGUCGUGCCUAUUCCAAAACCAAGUAAAGAUCAUACGGAUCCUAUUAAUUAUCGACCAAUUGCUCUUACCAGUUGUGUCUGUAAAACACUCGAACGGAUGGUCAAUGAUCGCCUUGUUUGGUUCUUGGAAUCCAAUGGGCUAUUAGCCAAUAUCCAGUGUGGAUUCCGACAGGGCCGCAGUACUCUUGAUCAUCUUGUUCGAUUCGAAUCAUUUGUCCGUAAUGGUUUUGCGAAAAAUGAACAUGUGGUGUCGGUCUUUUUCGACCUUGAGAAGGCCUAUGAUACUGCAUGGAAAUAUGGUAUUUUAAAAGAUCUAUUUGAUAUGGGGUUGAAAGGCAAUAUGCCUAAUUUUAUUUCUAAUUUUCUCUCUAACAGACAAUUUAAUGUUAGAGUUAAUUCGACCAUGUCUGAUCUGUAUGAUCAAGAGAUGGGUGUCCCUCAGGGCAGUAUUUUAUCUGUUACAUUAUUUAGUCUUAAAAUCAACAGCCUUGUUGAAGUUUUAAAAAGUAAUAUUGAAGGUUCAUUGUACGUUGAUGAUUUUUUAAUAUGUUACAGAGGCAAAAAUAUGAAUAACAUAGAAAGACAAUUACAAUUAUGUCUUGGAAGAAUUGAAAAAUGGGCCUCGGAAAAUGGUUUUAAAUUUUCCACGUCAAAAACGGUCGGGAUGCAUUUUUGUAACAAAAGGAAAUUGCAUCUUGAUCCAGAACUCACUUUGUACGGCAACCCAAUUAAAAUGGUUGAUGAAACCAAAUUUCUUGGGUUAAUUUUCGAUAAAAAGUUAACCUUUCUACCCCAUAUCAAAAUGGUAAAAUCGAGAUGUUUAAAAGCUUUAGAUAUUUUAAAAGUUGUCGGCAGCACUGACUGGGGUGCUGAUCGCAACAUUUUACUUAAUUUAUAUAGAUCUCUAGUUAGAUCUAAACUAGAUUAUGGCUCUAUAGUGUAUGGCUCUGCAAGGAAGUCCUACAUACAGAUUCUUGAUGCUGUGCAUCACCAGGGUUUGCGUCUCUGUCUUGGCGCAUUUAAAACCUCACCAGUUGAGAGUCUGUAUGUAGAGGCUGAUGAGCACUCACUCUCUAACAGACGUUUGAAGCUUGGACUUCAAUAUGCUGUCAAACUAAAAGCCUAUUCAGAUAAUCCUGCCUACAGCUGUGUUUUUAAUCCGAUUUAUGAAGAUAUUUUUGCAAAACAUGAAAAUAAAAUUCCUCCGUUAGGUAUACGUUUAAAACCACAUUUAGCUUUUUUUGAUUUAAAAUCUGUUGCUCAAGUUAAAAUUUGCAAAUGUCCUCCAUGGGAACUUCCCAAACCAAAAAUGAUAUUUGAUCUCCGUGUCUAUACUGAUGGAUCAAAAGAUGGCGACAGAGUUGCAUCUGCUGCUGUCUUCAGGGACAGAGCUGCAACUCUCCGUUUGCCAUCUGAUGCAUCCAUCUUUACUGCUGAAGCAGAAGCAAUAAGUUUUGGCUUUGAAAUUUAUUGCUUCUUCAGAUAAAUCCAAAUUUAUUAUAUGUUCUGAUUCACUUUCAUGCUUACAAGCUAUACAAAAUACUAAAAUUAAAAACCCAACAAUUCUCCAAAUUUUAUAUGUAAUGAGGAAUUUAAAAAUUCUUCUGAAAGAAAUAAUAUUUCUAUGGGUUCCGAGUCAUGUUGGAAUCCUUGGAAACACAGCUGUAGACCUUGAGGCAAAGCAUGCCCUGGGUGACCCUUUAUCUAACUGUGAUAUACCAUAUACUGAUUUUAAAU
rnacentral:lncRNA from 1 species